UACGUAGGGUCCAAGCGUUAUCCGGAAUCAUUGGGCGUAAAGGGUGCGUAGGCGGUCUUCUAAGUUUGAUGUGAAAUUCCGGGGCUCAACCCUGGCAUGGCAUUGAAUACUGGAGGACUAGAGUACCGGAGAGGAAACUGGAAUUUACGGUGUAGCAGUGAAAUGCGUAGAGAUCGUAAGGAAGACCAGUGGCGAAGGCGAGUUUCUGGACGGUAAACUGGACGCUGAGGCACGAAGGCCAGGGGAGCAAAACGGG
rnacentral:rRNA from 1 species